UGGCGGACGGGGGAGUAAUGUCUGGGAAACUGCCUGAUGGAGGGGGAUAACUACUGGAAACGGUAGCUAAUACCGCAUAACGUCGCAAGACCAAAGAGGGGACCUUCGGGCCUCUUGCCAUCGGAUGUGCCCAGAUGGGAUUAGCUAGUAGGUGGGGUAACGGCUCACCUAGGCGACGAUCCCUAGCUGGUCUGAGAGGAUGACCAGCCACACUGGAACUGAGACACGGUCCAG
rnacentral:rRNA from 1 species